rnacentral:lncRNA from 1 species
UUACAAUACAAGGGAUUAACACUUCCCUUCAAGUGUAUAAAAACACUUUGCACUCAAAACAAGACUCUCCUCAAGAGUAGAUAUGAGUAAAAUAAAUACACCCAAGAACGCAACAACUUUCGUCAAGAAUUUGGCUCUCAGAAACUUAUGUAAUGAAUAGAAAAUGAUGAAUAAGAGAGUAUGCAAGCUUUACCAAUAAUAUGAUCAGUU